UUAAAUUGAAGAGUUUGAUCAUGGCUCAGAUUGAACGCUGGCGGCAGGCCUAACACAUGCAAGUCGAACGGUAACAGGAAGCAGCUUGCUGCUUCGCUGACGAGUGGCGGACGGGUGAGUAAUGUCUGGGAAACUGCCUGAUGGAGGGGGAUAACUACUGGAAACGGUAGCUAAUACCGCAUAACGUCGCAAGACCAAAGAGGGGGACCUUCGGGCCUCUUGCCAUCGGAUGUGCCCAGAUGGGAUUAGCUAGUAGGUGGGGUAACGGCUCACCUAGGCGACGAUCCCUAGCUGGUCUGAGAGGAUGACCAGCCACACUGGAACUGAGACAC
rnacentral:rRNA from 1 species